rnacentral:rRNA from 1 species
ACCUGAAGCCUAUCGAUCUAUGCCUGGCCAGAUUGAAGCCCGAUGAAAGUUGGGUGGAGGAUCCAACCGUUGCUGAUGUGCAAAUCGCUCGGAUGAGCUGGGUAUAGGGGUGAAAGUCCAAUCGAGAUGGGCAAUAGCAGGUUCCGCGCGAGACUACUCGCAGGUAGAUCUUCGCAGAGAUAGAUUACGAUGUAGAGCACUGAUUGGGUAUUUAGGGGGAGCGAUCCCUCGGUACGCUGUCAAACUCCGAAGUUGUAAUCGUCGUAGACGCGAGGAGUGAGCCACGGUGGGUAAGCUACCGUGACGAAAGGUGAAGAAACCAGCUUAGUGUUAAGGUCCCAAAAUUACAGUUAAGUGUUAAUUACAAACGGAGUCCGUGGUCGAAGACAACUAGAAGGUGGGCUUAGAGGCAGCCAUCCUUGAAAGAGUUCGUAACAGAUCACUAGUCAAGCUUGCGGGCCCGAAAAAUGGACGGGACUAAAACUGUAUACCGAUACACUAAUCCUUCGAAAGAAGAUGAGGUAGCGCGGCGACAUGCUCGGGUAGAAGCUCGGUUUUGAGAUCGGGUGGACCGUGUAUGUAUGAGAAUCUAGGGAAGAGUAGCAGCAUAGUGCGGUGAGAAUCCGCACCACCGAAGGGGUAAGGGUUCCUCGGCAAUGGUUAUCAGCCGAGGGUUAGCCGAUCCUAAGGUCAUUCCUAACCGAAAUGAUCGAAAGGGAAUUGCGUUAAUAUUCGUAAGCCCCUCUUACAUUAAUGGUGACGGCUUGGGCUAGUUUAUGCGCAUCUGUCAUGGUGCGUCGAAGCGUUCAAUAAUCGAAUGGAGAACCGUAAUGGUGAGAAGUUUGAGAAGACGUGAGCAAAAGAUAGAUGAGGCCUAGGUCCCAUGAAAAACCGUAAGAGGUGAUCGUACCAAGAUCUGACACAGGUACCCAAGGUGAGAAGCCUAAGGUGUGACGGGCAAAGUAUCGUGAAGGAACUCGGCAAAAUCGCUCUGUAACUUCGGGAGAAGGAGUGCCAGGUUCGAGAGAACCUGGUCGCAGUAACAAGGGGACUCCGACUGUUUAAUAAAAACAUAGCCGACUGCUAGUUCGAAAGGAUGUGUAUAGUCGGUGAAUCCUGCUCAGUGCCGGUAUCUGAAAUCGGGUUUCAACCUGAUGAAGGACCGGUAAACAGCGGGGGUAACUAUGACCCUCUUAAGGUAGCGUAAUACCUUGUCGCUUAAUUGGCGACUUGCAUGAAUGGCACAACGAGAGUCCCACUGUCUCCACGAUACGUCCGGCGAAAUUGACUAUUACUGGCGCACAGUCCAGUAACCUCAACCUGCAAGCGAAGACCCCAUAGAGCUUUACUACAGCCUGGCGUUGAAUAAUCGCACACUAUGUGCUGAGUAGACGGGAGAUGUUAAUCAUUUGGACGCCAGUCCAGAUGGGAGUCGUCCAUAGAGACACCGUCCUUAGUUUGUAAUUAUUCUAACUCUUUUAGAGAACACCGUUUGGUGGGUAGUUUGGGUGGGGCGCCACGCGCCCGAAAAUAUAACAGGCGUGCCCAAAGGUCAGCUUAGGUGGUUCAGUCUCCACCGUUAACCGUAAGGGGAAAAGCUGGCUUGACGUGGAUCGGACCAAUAACGAUCGACGAUGCGAAAGCAGGGCCUAACGAACCAAUCUACCUCAUUUAUGGGGGUGAUUGAUAACAGAAAAGUUACCUUGGGGAUAAUUGAGUUGUCACCAGCAAGAGCACAUAUCGACCUGGUGGCUUGCUACUUCGAUGUCGUCUCUUCCCAACCUCCUGGUGCAGCAGCUGGGAAGGGUGGGGUUGUUCGCCCAUUAAAGGGGAUCGUGAGAUGGGUUUAGACCGUCGUGAGACAGGUUUGUUGCUUUGUGGUUGAGGCGUAUCAGAUGCCUGAUCGGAAGGGUCCUUUAGUACGAGAGGAACGAGGACUCGGAGCCACUAGUUUACCAGUUGUCCGACAGGGCAAUGCUGGGUAGCCACGCUCCAGUGGAUAAGAGCUGAAAGCAUCUAAGCUCGAAGUCAUCCGAAAGACGAGGCAUCUCAGGGGACUCAUAGAAGAUGAGUUUGAUAGACAGCGGGUGUAAGUAUCGAGGGUUCGCCCGAGAUAUUCAGCCCAGCUGCACUAACCCCCCGAGCAUUCAUCAAU